ACGGGACACGUGAAACCCUGUGGGAAGCAGGAGGGACCACCCUCCAAGGCUAAAUACUACCUAGUGACCGAUAGCGUAUAGUACCGUGAGGGAAAGGUGAAAAGAACCCCGGGAGGGGAGUGAAAUAGAACCUGAAACCCUGCACUUACAAGCUGUGGAAGCACAUUUCUUGUGUGACCGCGUACUUUUUGUAGAACGGGCCAACGAGUUACGUUAAGUAGCAAGGUUAAGCACUUAAGGUGCGGAGCCGUAGCGAAAGCGAGUUUUAACUGAGCGUUCAGUUACUUGACGUAGACCCGAAACCGGGCGACCUACCCAUGAGCAGGAUG
rnacentral:rRNA from 1 species